rnacentral:rRNA from 1 species
AUUGAACGCUGGCGGCAGGCCUAACACAUGCAAGUCGAACGAGUGGCGGACGGGUGAGUAAUGUCUGGGAAACUGCCCGAUGGAGGGGGAUAACUACUGGAAACGGUAGCUAAUACCGCAUACCAUCGGAUGUGCCCAGAUGGGAUUAGCUAGUGGGUGGGGUAACGGCUCACCUAGGCGACGAUCCCUAGCUGGUCUGAGAGGAUGACCAGCAACACUGGAACUGAGAGACGGUUCAGACGCCUACGGGAGGUAGAAGGGGGGAAGAGUGCAAAAGGGGCGCAAGCCUGAUGCAGCAAUGCCGCGUGUGUGAAGAAGGCUGUCGGGGUGUAAAGUACUUUCAGCGAGGAGGCGUUACUCGCAGAAGAAGCACCGGCUAACUCCGUGCCAGCAGCCGCGGUAAUAC